rnacentral:rRNA from 1 species
CACGUAGGCGGAUUAUUUAAGUCAGGGGUGAAAUCCCAGAGCUCAACUCUGGAACUGCCUUUGAUACUGGGUAUCUUGAGUAUGGAAGAGGUAAGUGGAAUUCCGAGUGUAGAGGUGAAAUUCGUAGAUAUUCGGAGGAACACCAGUGGCGAAGGCGGCUUACUGGUCCAUUACUGACGCUGAGGUGCGAAAGCGUGGGGAGCAAACA